GCAGAUGUUAGCUUAGGGCUAGUCUUCCUCAAAAACAAAAGAAAAAAAAAUUCUGUUUGUCUUCAGGUGUCUGCAGUUUUACUGUGAUAUGUUUAGAUGUGGUUUCCUUUUUGUUUAUCUUCCCUGGAGUUCAUUAGGCUUCUUGAAUCUGUAGAUGGAUAUGGUUCACCUUUCUGGAGAAGAUUCACACAGAAUCCCUUCAAAUACAGGCUCUGCCAAUGCUCUCUCCUCUCCUUCUGGAACCUUCUUACUCUGCCCUGAAGUUCUCUUAUCCUCUUUUCCCUGUUUUCCAUCUUUCUCUCUCUCUCAUUGUAUGUAACACCUUCUGACUUAUCUUCCAGGUCUGUCCUUUUCACUUCUCUGUUCAGUCUGCUUUAAAACCCAUUUUACUGAAAUAUUAAUUUGGAUUAUUUCAUUUUUUCAUCUAUAGAAGUUUUAUUUGGUUCCUUGACAAAUCUGUUAUUUCACUUGUUAUAGUUUCCCUGAAGAUAUUUUUAAGAUUGUCAUAUUUUUUAGACAAUUAUGAUUAAAAAUAGUCUAUUUCUAAUAACUCUAGCAUUUAAAGACUUUGGGGGCUAGUUUAUGAUGGGUUUUCUGCCACUUUUUGUUCGUUGCUUCUUAUUUCCUUGUGUGCUAAUGUAUCUUUGAUUUUGUGCUACUUUUUUCCCUUGAAAAUUUUCUGUGUGAGAUUUUCCAGACACCUAGGAUAAAGAAGACUUCCUCCAGAGAGAUUUGCACUUGCAACUGCCAAGCACCUGGGUAGGAGGAAUCUGUAACCAUCUAAAAUUUCCAUCCUAGGUCAUUGUAAUCCCGGGAAACGAUUUAUCCAGCACAAGCACAGGUGCCAUCCCUCACUCUUCUGCUGUGGCCCAGCUGCUGACAUCUGCUAUUUCUCUCAGUCUGACGCAAAGAUAACUGGCUGAGCUGCGGACACGGCCUGAAGGUUUUGAGUGUGAAUGUGAUUGAUUACCCGGCUAAAUCCUGGUUACUAAAUGUUUGGACUCACUAAGUUCUAAAAACGUGAAACCUGAAUACAAAAGGAAACCAUAACACGGCUCAGCUUUUUAUAAUGCUGGGUGCUGUCAGCUAUGUAUGUAACAUGGAAAAGAGUAUGAUGGAAAGACAAGAUCACUUUUUUCUACUUGGAGAAUAAAAUAGGUUUACAAAGGAAAAAGGUAAAACUGCGUGCCAUAUGAUCCCAAGAUUGUUAAAGAAAAAUAAGCCUUGAAGGGAAUACAUCAAAGUGUCAAGAGCUAUCAGGACUCUGUCCAUCGCUGGCUGGAGUGUUUGGUACAAACUCCAUCGAAAACAAUUUGGCAAUACCUAUCAAAAUUAUAAAUUCACAUACCUUUUGAUGCAGCAAUUCCAUUUCUAAAGGUAUUUUAUGAUAUGCUGGCACACUUGCAAGAUAAUGUGCAAGCUUACUAAUGCAGUAUAGUGUGGAACAGCUUAAAAAUAAAUUAAAACAUCCAUCAGGGAGAAGUUGUUAAAUAAUUAUGAUAUUUGACUGAAUAUUAUGCAGCUCUAAGAUAGAAAGAUAAAACUCUUUAUGAAUUCAUAUGGAAUAAUCUCCAAAAUAUAUUAAGUGAAAAAACUUAGAUACGUAUGUAUUAACUGGUUUGUAUUUUCUAUGCCACUAUUUACUUCAAAUAAAAGAAGGGAGAAGGAA